rnacentral:rRNA from 1 species
UUCGCAAUGCCCGAAAGGGUGACGAAGCGACGCCGCGUGGGUGAAGAAGGCCUUCGGGUUGUAAAGCCCUGUCAGGAGUUAUGAAAUGUAGGUGCGAUAAUACCGUGCCUAUUUGACAAAGGCUCCAAAGGAAGCCACGGCUAACUCUGUGCCAGCAGUCGCGGUGAUACAGAGGUGGCAAGCGUUGUUCGGAAUUAUUGGGCGUAAAGAGCACGUAGGUGGGUUUGUAAGUCAGAUGUGAAAGCCUUCUGUUCAACGGAAGAAUUGCAUCUGAAACUGCGAGUCUUGAGUGUAGGAGGGGAGAAUGGAACUUCUGGUGGAGCGGUGAAAUGCGUAGAUAUCAGAAGGAACGCCGGCGGCGAAAGCGAUUCUCUGGCCUAUUACUGACACUGAGUGUGCGAAAGCUAGGGGAGCAAACGGGAUUGGAUACCCCGGUAGUCCUAGCUGUAAACGAUGGGCACUAAGUAGAGGGGUUUU